UACGUAGGGGGCUAGCGUUGUCCGGAAUCAUUGGGCGUAAAGAGCGUGUAGGCGGUCCGGUAAGUCCGCUGUGAAAGUCGGGGGCUCAACCCUCGGAUGCCGGUGGAUACUGUCGGGCUUGAGUACGGAAGAGGCGAGUGGAAUUCCUGGUGUAGCGGGUGAAAUGCGCAGAUAUCAGGAGGAACACCAAUUGCGAAGGCAGCUCGCUGGGACGUUACUGACGCUGAGACGCGAAAGCGUGGGGAGCAAACAGG
rnacentral:rRNA from 1 species